rnacentral:lncRNA from 1 species
UUAUUCUUUGUAACUGUCUUCCUCUCCACUGUUGACCUUGCUAUAUGAAUAGUAUCAAUCAUAUUCAUUCCCCUGUGUUAGCUCAACAAACAAGAGCCAUACAGAUAAAAGGCAACCAAUGCACGCACGUGAGCCCGGCUCUCUGCCUAUCCACCCAGAGGAGGUAAGUAGCUCUGGAAACGUCAGAAGCAAAGAAGACUCUAAGUGUAGCUUAACAAAAAACUCCACUGAGAAUCACCGCAUGCUUCAGAAAUUCCAUGGCGCAGGGACCUGAGCACACCUGUUUGUAUGUUGAUUGUAUCCUGGUUCACAGAUGCAUCAUCAACAAAGACGAAAGGUGAAUACAGCUCAAAUGCCCACCGAUAGAUAAGGCAAAUAUGAUAUACUCCAUAUAAGAGAAUAUUAUUCAGCAUUCAAAGUUACAACAUGGAUAAGUCUUAAUAAUUUUAUGCAAAUGAGAUAAAUCAAACCCAAGGGACA